CCCUCUGCACUAGUGCAUAACAAUCUGCCCUGGGGGUAAGCCAAAGAGGCUGUGGAUGGAAGGGGAAGGAGGAGCACACAUGAAGGCAAGCUGUAGGGAAGGGGCAGAGCGGAGCUACCUGUCUCCUGCCUCCAUGGAAAUCUGUGCUCUUUUGCCUGGUUAACAGAGAGGAAGGCUACAAAGGGGACUGUAUCGAAGAAUUAAACCCUAGCUCUGCAAACGGCCCCCUUGUAAUUCAUUCCCCAUGGUCAUAAGGGCAGCUAGCCCUGGAUCUCCAACUGGAAAUUAGACCCCCUCCCUUAGUAAUACUCAGCGGUGGAGGCCACCCCAAUGUAUCUUCCUGGUCUUCCCCAGGGGUAGGAAGCCUGGGUUCACAGCAUGAUAGUGUCAUGUCUCAGGAAGGUGAGAGGCCUUGGCCGGGAUCAGCAAAGCUGUCUAGGGGAUUUGGACACUCAGCUCCCAUUAAAAGGAAUGGGAGUUGGGGAGCUGAAUCUCACUGGCACUUUGAAAAGCUCACAGACUGAUCGACCAUUGUGAUCAUCUAACCAGACCUCCUGCAUAUCACAGGCCACAGAACCUCGCCCACCCACUGCUGGAAUAGACCCCUAACCUCUGGCUGAGUCACUGAAGUCCUCAAAUUGUGAUUUAAAGACUUCAAGUUACAGAGACUCCACCCUAGUUGACUCUAGUUCAAACCUGCAAGUGACCCUUGCGCCCCCCCCACACACACACUGCAGAGGAAGGCAAAACCUGCUCCCCCCCCCGGGUUUCUGCCAAUCUUCCCUGGCUCAGCCUCUGUGUGCCACCACUUGCUCCAAGAGCAAAGCAUGGAAGCAAGGGGCAGCGUGUCUGUCCAAACCAAAAGCCAGAUCUGGGACCACCAGCGUGGGCCUGAGCCGUGUGAUUUGUGCACUUGCAGCUCUCCGGCCUAAACUAGUGCAAGGCCAUUGACUUCAGCACCUGGCUCACGGGGGCAAGUGACAGAAUGAGGGUCAGAAUGACAGAGGGCUGACUGUCCCUCCAGCCCUCGUUCCUUGGAGUGAGGCCUACCUGCGCCAUGACCACCAUCACCCCUCAGGGAAUGGGGACCGCUCACUGCCAUUGCCCAGCAGCUGGGCCUGGUGCCAAUGGGGGCACGCGCUGUCAAACAGGAGUCACAAGCCGACAGCCCGACACCGCUUUUACAGCAGCGUGACAGUGAUCAGAAUCUGGGCCCUUAUCAGAGACAGCGAGGCACAAAGUGGUUAAGUGACUUCCCAGUGGCAGAGCUAUGCAGGGAUUCCCCAUCCCUUGACUCAGGGCCCUGAACACCACGGCAGGCUUCCUCUCUAAUUGCACCUGCUGGUUAGUGCAGGUCACAGAAUUGAAGGCCAGAAGGGACCAUCGUGAUAAUCUAGUCUGGCCUCCAGCACAUUGCAGGUCACAGAACCUCACCCAGCCACUCCUAUAACAGACCCCUAAGCUCUGGUGCAUCUCGUGGGCAGGCCAACCUUGCUGGGCUGUGAGGCUCGAGUCGCUGGGGUGGGGAAGGAGUACCAGUUCUAAACCAUUAACUCCCAUGCAACCCAAGGACACAGAAUGAACAGCGUCCUCAGUUUAGCCCGCUACACAUCUCCCCUUCACAACCUUCCUGCCGCGACAGCCCCUUUGACCUAAUUAGGUGGGACAGUGUCCGCCACGCCCCCCGCAAGCAGAAGGGUUGGAUUCCCAGGGACGGAGAUUAGCCCCAGAGAGGGAAUGGGUCUUGUUAUUGUAUCGCAGCAGCUCUCAAACAAAUUGUCAAUCCAUAAUUUUUCAUGAGGCAUCUUAUUCCUCACUAUAGAUUAACGGCGAAUCGUUUAGGCUCACUAAUUAAGGCUCCAUGAGGAACGCUUGUCCAAUUAACUGACCCCAUAAAUGGUCACCCUUCCAGUAACGAGAGCCAGAAGCAUCCUUCUUCUGAGAAGAAGGGGGACGGAGCUAGGCACCCUUAGUUUUUCCAUGGCCGUAGGGCCCAGGCCUGCCCCUGGUGAUGCGCUGUGGGGACAGAGGAAGCCAGCGGGGUGCCUGGGACCACCUCACGCUGUGGAAUGAGCAGCUUUGAGGUGUAGCUCCCAAACCAGAUGUGCUGAUGGCAAGGGGAGGUGGGCCACGCUUGGUUCAGAGGUGAGGAGUGCAGCUAGCCAAGCAGUCAGGGCCCCGUUUGGGGGUGGCAUUGGAUAUAUUUUUCCCCCUCGUGUUUUCUACUGGCCCUGGUGUAGUCAGAGAGACAGCAGGUCUAACAUGACCCAAUGGCUGGAAGUUGAAGCUAGACAAAUUCAGACUGGGUGUAAGGUGUAGAUAUUGAAUAGUGAGAGUAAUUAGCCACAGGAACAAUUUACCCAGGUUCACGGUGGAGUCUCCAUCACUGGCCAUGUUUUUCGAAAAGAUCUGCUCUGGGAAUUCUUUAGGGGCAAGUCUGUGGCCUGUGUUACGCAGGAGGUCAGACUCGAUCCCAGUGGUCCCUGCUGGUCUUGGGAUCUAGGAAUCACACCCUGUAAGGGGUGUGUGGGUGAAUGAGCCAUUAACCCCUGGGGGGGUUACCAAUGACCAUGGUGUCUCCCCUCAGCCCUCGCUCCCCCAUGGCCACCCGCCUGUCUAUGAUCUAUCACAUUUAGUUCCCGAUCUGGGCUCUGAGCCAGCCUGCUGUGUCUGCCCAAGGCUGUAAGCUUGCUCCUCAUUACACUGGAUCGCUAUGUGUCUGUCUUCCUAGCUCUAAAGAACCCUUGAUUUGUCUAUGAGUGCGAGAGUCUCACACAAACACACACUCUGGAUCAUUAACGAGAGGGCAGGAUUUCCAUCUAAGUGUGCAAAUGGGAGCUCCCCACUUCACACCUUACCUCACCUCCCGCCUGCGAGUGUGCAAACAAGACACCCUCUUACAUCUGGUCAGUUCACAUUUGUACACAAGUCUAAAAAGGGGGCAUGCGCUGGUGUGGUGACUUAAUUUGCUUUCACACGUGAGUGUGCAAAUGAAAAUUUGGGCACAUCUCCUCACUUCACAUUUGCAUGCCAUGCGCAAAGGGAACAUGCCAUCCCAUCACCUAGUCAUUUGGAAACAGAGGGCGUAUCACUUUCAAAUACAGGCAAACAAACCAUCACAAAGAGGAAUCAAAUCUUGCUUCCCUGGCUCUGGCUCCGGCUCCAUACACCCUACUAAACCUCCUGCUGAGAAUCUGUAUCCAUGUUCCCCUGGCGAUAAACAUUGAUCUCCUCAGCUGGACAAGAGACUAACGCCAACCUGCUUUAGAUAGCCAGGAAAACUGAUCAGGAAGGGAAGGAGGGAUGGAAACAGGAUGACUGGGGAUUCACUGCAUCAGAGAUUCUGCAAACAGGGUGUAUUGCUGAUAAGCAACACAUGAGAAUGAGCUGGGAUUACUCUGAGGCAAGUCUGCAGGAUUCUGCAGUGAGAGAAUUUGCCAGACCCUGGAUUGGGGGCUCCUGCUACUUGGCGUUGUUAAUCCAGGACACAAGGGCUGCUCAACUGGGCCUGGGGAUUUUGCAUGAAGUUCUGGCUCACCCAUGUGGGCGGGUACAUUCAGAGGUGGGCCCAAGCUGCCAAAUUCAUACCUGCAGCUGGAGUUUGGAUGUCCCAGAGUUUGGGGUUAGCAUGGGGCUGGGAUUUUGGUUUGGCCCUUUUUGGAGUCAGAUCUGGCUCCAAAAGCCCCUAUGUUUGGGAUUGGGAACUUGGCUAGGGCCCAUCUCUACUGUACGAUGCACCGUACAGUACAGAACCACCAGACCACCCGAGGUGACAGCAAGAUUGCAGGAGGGUAAGUGACUGACUGAGAUCCCCCAGGAGUAUAAAAUUACUUCCUCUGCUCUGUCUUUAUCCCAGGCCCCCUAUGUGUCCGCCAUGUCCUGGGAGUCUCAUAUCACGGUGAUGCGCCUUCAUCCAAUAUGUGCUGCUAUCCCUAGGCAGGACCAGGUGAGGCCUUGACUCCCUUCAGGUUUGCGGGUUUACAACAGUCCUUUUAAUCGGUACCUAAUCAGAGGGAUGCUGGGGAUUUCAUUUCCUUCAAUGUGGCAUUUGCUCAGUAGUACGAAAAAAGAAAUCCGAGAUCCCCAAAUCCCUAUGUUGAAGUGAGGGUAGAAUUCGGUUUCCCUGGGUAUGGAUUCACUUGUCAGAGAUGGAUGGGCACCCUAAAGUUUAGUGGCUUCUCUGAACCCCUGGAUCUGUGGAAAUAGUCUCUCCCGAGAUCUCUAAGACAUCCUGCUUUCGAUGGGGACAGAAGCACCCCAAGAACAGCCACUCUUGUGGUGUUUCCCCCAAGAAGCACAGAAACCACCAGGAAAAGCCAGAACAAUUACAACAGAGUUAUCUGAUUUCCCAUCUCCCAUAGUAGUAAUGAAAUAAAUCAGUCGAGGGAAAGGUCUGGGUCAAGUUCGACUGUACCUGACUCAAGCCAGAAACUGUGGAGCUGGUUUUGGAACAGAGACUGGCUGAAGCUGGAUGUGGGAUUUUGGUUUGGAUUAUUAUAAAGGGUCCAAGUCUGUUGCCCAGUUGUAUGGCAGGGUCACCGUCAAUGUCUAUGGCAUGAAACCUGUAUAUGGCACUGGGGGAGAAUUAAACCCAUUAUAAUACGCCUCUGAAACUGGUGAUUUCUUUUUCAACAGAAGAUUCAUUUAGCCAUUUGAUUAAGGAACAAAAAAACCAAACACCUAGUGAAUCCUGCCUUGAUGGAAAGUCCAUGUCAGACCGACAGCCCUGGACACUGAAAUCUUAGCCACAGAACAGCAGGGGUAGCAGCAAUCCAAGCUUCCCUCCAACUUCCCCAUCACAUCUCAAGGCGGGGGAGAGGAGAUCAGCACACAGGGCUCAAUCAGCCUCCCAAGGGGCCAUUUGGUGCAGGCUAUCAGUGGCCAUAAGGGCAGGGGUCAUUACGAUGGAGACGUGGCUGGCAACACUCUCACAAAGGGGAAGGAUGUAAACUGAUGACUGCUAAGAGCUAGCAGUUUAAAUACAAUGGGCCUGGCCUGAUGCCCAUUGAAGUCAACGCAAAGGCCCCCCCAUUGAUUCCGAAUGGCACUGGAGUUCCCCGAAAGAAACCAUCCGCUUGGCUGGGUGGCACCAUCCCCAUCAGCAGCAUGUUUGCGGGAAGGGCACAGGGGUGUUUCAUGGAACCUUUCCCGUCACUGUGGCAUGGAGGAAUGUGCAGAGGACUGGCGCGUAUCGGAAACAGGGUGAAAUUAACUCCUCCUUGGCUAAAACUAAAAAUCCCUCAUGUCUUUAAACAACAGGACACGCCAGCAGUGACCAGCAGCAUCACCACAGCCAGGAUUCCCACCCCCCCCGCCCCGCCCCUUUCUCUUUUCCUUUUCUUUUUGUUGGUUUGUUUUUAAAUACUGUAAAGGGAUAAUAAAUGGGAGGCAGAAAACGGCAGCUCCAUUUCCCUGUGCCAAUAACAGCCCCGUGCGCCUUGGAUUUUGCUUAGUUUCCUUUGAUUCUUAUUUGUUUAUAACAUGCUUAACACUGAGACUUGCUCGUCACAGGCGCAUUGUGGGUAAUGGAAACACCACAAAAAAACAAAC